rnacentral:rRNA from 1 species
UACGUAGGGUGCGAGCGUUGCCCGGAAUUAUUGGGCGUAAAGCGCACGUAGGCGGCUUUGCAAGUCGGAUGUGAAAUCCCUCGGCUCAACCAAGGAAGUGCAUCCGAAACUGCAGAGCUUGAGUACCAAAGAGGAUCGCGGAGUUCCCGGUGUAGAGGUGAAAUUCGUAGAUAUCGGGAGGAACACCAGUGGCGAAGGCGGCGAUCUGGGUGGAUACUGACGCUGAGGUGCGAAAGCGUGGGGAGCAAACAGG